CCUUCCGUAGGUGAACCUGCGGAAGGAUCAUUAUUGCUUCUGUUGCCAGCGCUUGAUUGCGCGGCGGCUCCUUUCACACUUGCAUAUUAUAAAUGAAGCACUGUCUUUGCGUACGCAAGUACGCCCCAGCCUAAACACAGAUUACCAAUCUUAUACAAACACAGUCAACUUAGGAAUAAAAAAUAUUCAAAACUUUCAACAACGGAUCUCUUGGUUCUCGCAACGAUGAAGAACGCAGCGAAUUGCGAUAAGUAUUGUGAAUUGCAGAUUUUCGUGAAUCAUCGAAUCUUUGAACGCACAUUGCACCCUCUGGUAUUCCAGAGGGUAUGCCUGUUUGAGCGUCAUUUCUCUCUCAAGGGAUCUCUUUUAGGGAUUUGAAAACCUUGGUAUUGAGUGAUGCUCUGCUCGCAGGGCUAGCUUGAAAAAUAGGAUGGCUGCGGAUACGCCCUUGUGGGAGCGCCAGCGUAAUGUAUUAGGUUCAGCCGACUCGUUAAGCUCGCACACUCAUCAAGCAGGGGACAGGCCGCGGCGUAACAACCAACUAUAUAUACAAGUUGACCUCAAAUCAGUA
rnacentral:rRNA from 1 species